rnacentral:rRNA from 1 species
AGAGUUUGAUCCUGGCUCAGGAUGAACGCUAGCGGGAGGCCUAACACAUGCAAGUCGAACGGGAUUGGGAGCUUGCUCCCAUGAGAGUGGCGCACGGGUGAGUAACGCGUAUGCAACCUACCUUUAACUGAGGGAUAGCCCAUAGAAAUGUGGAUUAAUACCUCAUAGUUCUUUUGAUCCGCAUGGAUUAAAAGAUAAAGCUCCGGCGGUUAAAGAUGGGCAUGCGUGACAUUAGCUAGUUGGUAAGGUAACGGCUUACCAAGGCUACGAUGUCUAGGGGUUCUGAGAGGAUGAUCCCCCACACUGGUACUGAGACACGGCCCAGACUCCUACGGGAGGCAGCAGUGGGGAAUUUUGGACAAUGGGCGAAAGCCUGAUCCAGCAAUGCCGCGUGCAGGAUGAAGGCCUUCGGGUUGUAAACUGCUUUUGUACGGAACGAAAAGUCUCUUUCUAAUAAAGAGGGAUCAUGACGGUACCGUAAGAAUAAGCACCGGCUAACUACGUGCCAGCAGCCGCGGUAAUACGUAGGGUGCAAGCGUUAAUCGGAAUUACUGGGCGUAAAGCGUGCGCAGGCGGUUAUGUAAGACAGUUGUGAAAUCCCCGGGCUCAACCUGGGAACUGCAUCUGUGACUGCAUAGCUAGAGUACGGUAGAGGGGGAUGGAAUUCCGCGUGUAGCAGUGAAAUGCGUAGAUAUGCGGAGGAACACCGAUGGCGAAGGCAAUCCCCUGGACCUGUACUGACGCUCAUGCACGAAAGCGUGGGGAGCAAACAGGAUUAGAUACCCUGGUAGUCC